AACCAAAACCUCAGCAUGAUGACUGGGUUGUUUUCAUGCUAUUGUAUGAUAUAUGCCUUCCUCAAAACUUGUUAUGAUAUCAUUGCAUCACCCAUCUGAUG
ensembl:snoRNA